rnacentral:rRNA from 1 species
ACGGAGUUAGCCGAUGCUUAUUCCUCAGGUACCGUCAAGAUUCUUCCCUGAGAAAAGAGGUUUACAAUCCAAGAACCUUCCUCCCUCACGCGGUAUUGCUCCGUCAGGCUUUCGCCCAUUGCGGAAAAUUCCC